rnacentral:rRNA from 1 species
AUGUGGCCCUCUUCAAGUAAUGCAGAUUCACAGGAUAGUGCUGAGAAUGGUAUUCAAAAGACAUCCCAUGAAUAUGGUAAUGUACUAAUGUCAUCCAACAAACGGCUGAGCAGAAAAUGUGAUAAUGCCAUUGUCUUAUUGGACAUGGUUGUAGCCAUGAGUCAAGCUCAAACAGUUGGUGUAACUUAG